CGGACGGGUGAGUAAUGUCUGGGAAAACUGCCUGAUGGAGGGGGAUAACUACUGGAAACGGUAGCUAAUACCGCAUAACGUCGCAAGACCAAAGAGGGGGACCUUCGGGCCUCUUGCCAUCGGAUGUGCCCAGAUGGGAUUAGCUAGUAGGUGGGGUAACGGCUCACCUAGGCGACGAUCCCUAGCUGGUCUGAGAGGAUGACCAGCCACACUGGAACUGAGACACGGUCCAG
rnacentral:rRNA from 1 species